UACGUAGGGUGCAAGCGUUACUCGGAAUUACUGGGCGUAAAGCGUGCGUAGGCGGUUCGUUAAGUCUGAUGUGAAAGUCCUGGGCUCAACCUGGGAAUGGCAUUGGAUACUGGCGACCUAGAGUGCGGUAGAGGGGUGUGGAAUUCCCGGUGUAGCAGUGAAAUGCGUAGAUAUCGGGAGGAACAUCUGUGGCGAAGGCGACACCCUGGACCAGCACUGACACUGAGGCACGAAAGCGUGGGGAGCAAACAGG
rnacentral:rRNA from 1 species